GAUGAAGAACGUAGCGAAAUGCGAUAAGUAAUGUGAAUUGCAGAAUUCAGUGAAUCAUCGAAUCUUUGAACGCACAUUGCGCCCCUUGGUAUUCCGGGGGGCAUGCCUGUUCGAGCGUCAUUUCAACCCUCAAGCUCUGCUUGGUAUUGGGCACCGUCCUUUGCGGGCGCGCCUCAAAGACCUCGGCGGUGGCGUCUUGCCUCAAGCGUAGUAGAAUACACCUCGCUUCGGAGCGUAAGGCGUCGCCCGCCGGACGAACCUUCUGAACUUUUCUCAAGGUUGACCUCGGAUCAGGUAGGGAUACCCGCUGAACUUAAGCAUAUCAAUAAGCGAGGA
rnacentral:misc_RNA from 1 species